AGCGCCAUAUCUUUUUCGACUGUCCCAAGUGCGUGAGGACGAGCUUUUCGAAUACAAACGGUUGGCCCAUAUAGAGCAGUUGCUCUUUACCGCGCAUCGUCUUAGUAAAUACGGCUAACGUUUCGUCCGAAUCGCUACAAUCACUCUUCGCGGUUUUGACAAUUGUUGCGAUAAUUCGUCUUUCACGACUUGCUGCAAAGGAAGGAAGGGAAAAAAUAAAUUAUGAAAAUAUUAAUACAGCGUGGUGGUAAGGGUACCAGCAACACAACACAUUGCUAGUUCGUUGCUGUGCGUUUGAUAAGUCAUAUUUGCCUAAAAUUAGUUAAAAUCUACAAUGCAUAUACAGUACAGAAUAUUCAUCACCAUCGGCAUUUUCAGCUAUUACAUACAAAUGCGCUGCAACUAGGCAUUCUUCGACCAUUGCCGUUACUUAUUCUCCCGUUCGUGGUUGUGCUUGUGUCUGUUCAACUUCAAUGCACCGUCUUCCAUCCGCUGAACUAGGCGGGCCAGGCAACGUCGCUGUACGGUUAAACAAACAGUCGGAAGAGAAAGGUUAACUCGGUGUAGUCUUAGGCCACUGGCACCUUAUGCUUCUUCAACCUCCGUAAGCACGGCAAUUGGGCCAUGAUUGUGCCACUUUUUACCAAACCGAAUACCACCCGCAC